AUUGAACGCUGGCGGCAUGCCUUACACAUGCAAGUCGAACGGUAACAGGUCUUCGGAUGCUGACGAGUGGCGAACGGGUGAGUAAUACAUCGGAACGUGCCUAGUAGUGGGGGAUAACUACUCGAAAGAGUGGCUAAUACCGCAUGAGAUCUACGGAUGAAAGCAGGGGAUCGCAAGACCUUGUGCCACUAGAGCGGCCGAUGGCAGAUUAGGUAGUUGGUGGGAUAAAAGCUUACCAAGCCGACGGUCUGUAGCUGGUCUGAGAGGACGAUCAGGCACACUGGGACUGAGACACGGCCCAGACUCCUACGGGAGGCAGCAGUGGGGAAUUUUGGACAAUGGGCGCAAGCCUGAUCCAGCAAUGCCGCGUGCAGGAUGAAGGCGUUCGGGUUGUAAACUGCUUUUGUACGGAACGAAAAGCCCCGGGUUAAUACCCUGGGGUCAUGACGGUACCGUAAGAAUAAGCACCGGCUAACUACGUGCCAGCCGCCGCAGUAA
rnacentral:rRNA from 1 species